rnacentral:rRNA from 1 species
UAGGGAAUCUUCGUCAAUGGGGGGAACCCUGACCGAGCAACGCCGCGUGAGUGAAGAAGGUUUUCGGAUCGUAAAGCUCUGUUGUUAAGGAAGAACGAGUGUGAGAAUGGAAAGUUCAUGCUGUGACGGUACUUAACCAGAAAGCCACGGCUAACUACGUGCCAGCAGCCGCGGUAAUACGUAGGUGGCAAGCGUUGUCCGGAUUUAGUGGGCGUAAAGCGAGCGCAGGCGGUCAAUUAAGUCGGAUGUGAAAGCCCCCGGCUCAACCGGGGAGGGUCAUUGGAAACUGGUUGACUUGAGUGCAGAAGAGGAGAGAGGAAUUCCAUGUGUGGCGGUGAGAUGCGUAGAUAGAUGGAGGAACGCCGGUGGCGAAGGCGACUCUCUGGUCUGUGACUGACGCUGGGGUUCGAAAGCGUGGGUAGCAAACAGG